GCUUGCUCCUCUGGAUUAGUGGCGAACGGGUGAGUAACACGUGAGCAAUGUGCCCUUGACUCUGGAAUAAGCGCUGGAAACGGCGUCUAAUACCGGAUACGACCCUCGGAGGCAUCUCCAGGGGGUGGAAAGAACUUCGGUCAAGGAUCAGCUCACGGCCUAUCAGUUAGUUGGUGAGGUAAUGGCUCACCAAGACGACGACGGGUAGCCGGCCUGAGAGGGUGACCGGCCACACUGGGACUGAGACACGGCCCAGACUCCUACGGGAGGCAGCAGUGGGGAAUAUUGCACAAUGGGCGCAAGCCUGAUGCAGCAACGCCGCGUGAGGGACGACGGCCUUCGGGUUGUAAACCUCUUUUAGCAGGGAAGAAGCGAAAGUGACGGUACCUGCAGAAAAAGCACCGGCUAACUACGUGCCAGCAGCCGCGGUAAUACGUAGGGUGCAAGCGUUGUCCGGAAUUAUUGGGCGUAAAGAGCUCGUAGGCGGUUUGUCACGUCUGCUGUGAAAUCCCGAGGCUCAACCUCGGGCUUGCAGUGGGUACGGGCAGACUAGAGUGCGGUAGGGGAGAUUGGAAUUCCUGGUGUAGCGGUGGAAUGCGCAGAUAUCAGGAGGAACACCGAUGGCGAAGGCAGAUCUCUGGGCCGUAACUGACGCUGAGGAGCGAAAGCAUGGGGAGCAAACAGGCUUAGAUACCCUGGUAGUCCAUGCCGUAAACGUUGGGAACUAGAU
rnacentral:rRNA from 1 species